rnacentral:lncRNA from 1 species
AGGUGGUAUGACUGAAGUAUAAACAGUGAACAUCUGUCAACUUGGCUGAAAGUUAGGAAUCUCAUUGCCUUCUCCAGUGGUAGCUCCUACUUUCCAAAUCCUUCACAGAAUAGAGCCUCACAUUCAGCUUUACCAUCACACAGGACACCAGAUACUUCAAACCAGAUGACACAUGGGCAGAAUACAGCCCUACAGAGAACAUGAGUUUCAACCCUUCCGUGCAAGCUCUCUCAGCACCCCAUUCUCUGUAUGCAAGGGAAGACUUGUGUUUCCAAUAGGUUUAUAGCUUGAGGGGAAGUCAGCAGUAAGUAUUCACCAUCCCUGAUCAAGAACAGAACCUUUCACAAUUAAAACAAAAGGGUGAGUUUUAAAAAUGUUUUUUAAAAGUUAUUUAAGAAAAUCUAACUCCGAAAUUCAGUGUUACUGCACUUAAAUUUGUAGUGUGGAUGUUUUUUGUACGGAUCUGUUUACUAUAUACCAUUAGCUCCAGGU